rnacentral:rRNA from 1 species
AUUGAACGCUGGCGGCAGGCUUAACACAUGCAAGUCGAGCGAGCGGCGGACGGGUGAGUAACGUCUGGGAAACUGCCUGAUGGAGGGGGAUAACUACUGGAAACGGUAGCUAAUACCGCAUACCAUCAGAUGUUCCCAGAAGGGAUUAGCUAGUAGGUGGGGUAAUGGCUCACCUAGGCGACGAUCCCUAGCUGGUCUGAGAGGAUGACCGGCAAAACUGGAACUGAGAGACGGUCCAGACGCCUAGGGGAGGCAGCAGUGGGGAAUAGUGCACAAUGGGCGCAAGCCUGAUGCGGCCAUGCCGCGUGUGUGAAGAAGGCCUUCGGGUUGUAAAGCGCUUUCAGCGAGGAGGCGUUACUCUCAGAGGAAGCACCGGCUAACUCCGUGCCAGCAGCCGCGGUAAUUC